GUACUGCUGAAGAGUCCCAAACUAGGACGAAAUAGCUGUCCAAUAC
rnacentral:hammerhead_ribozyme from 1 species